UGACAGAUUCGAUGACGUUAUUCAACGCAACUAAGCAUCUAUAGUAAAGUUUUGACAAAUAAAAAGUUAUCAUUAGAAAUAUUUGAAUUAAUUGCGUUAAAAUGAGUGUUCCGAUUGAACCAAAAAGGAAGCGGCGGCAGAAAGAGGUAGUGUCAAAAAGACAAACCAGAAAUAGAAUUAAUUCAGAAAUGCAAAGUUACUCAACCCAAGCAAAAGUUACGAUAUCUGAAGCAAAUCCUGUCACUUCUGCUGCUACAGUGCUGAACUAUCUGGAUCACAUAGAUCAAAUUGUUGAUCCUGUCGUGUGUUUGAAUGCCUCCAAAGAAAACACUUGCCAUAUCUCUGUUAUGUCAGCAGAUGUUAUGACAUGUGAAGCAAAUCCUUCUUGGUAAAUCCUUUAAUGAAUAUUAAUGUAAAUUGAAAUUGUAUUGAAAUGUUGGUCUGCUUUGUAUAAAUACAAAUCGUGAUUUAAAA